UACGGUCACAUCUUGUUGAAACACCGGUUCUCGUAUGGUCACCGAAGUUAAUCAAUGUCGAGCCUGGUCAGUAUCUAGAUGGAUGACCGCUUGGGAAUGCCAAGUGCUGUA